UGCAUAGGAAUCCGUUAGAGUUCGCCUCGAGUCAGUCUCAAUUGGUCUCAACACAUUUAAAUCCUUUAUACUUGCUAACGAUCAGCCACGUGUACAGUAAUGACACCAUACUUUCACACUUAGGGAGACUGGGGUUGUAAACCGCUUGACCUAGCGGCCUCGAGAUCUUAAAGGCCAGAUAGUAUUGUACCAGGACACGCGCAAAAAGUUUCCGCAGGUAUAAUAUAAUCCUUUUAAUGCUGAAAAUCUGUUCUCAAACAGAAAAUCUGCAUGUUUAUUCCAUGAUGAAAAUUAUUUCGAUCACUGUAUGCCAAUUAAACUGGUCUUCAAUGUCUACGUAUAAAUAUAUUCCCAUAAAACUAUAUAAAGACAAAAACAGUUAACACAUAUCCCCUUUAUGACUCGAAUAAUUGUACAAUGCUCUAAUAAAUAGACGGAAUAGUUUGUUCGAAUAAAUAGAUGGAAUAAUUUGUGUUCGAAUAAAUAGAUAGAAUAGUUCGAUUGUACUUUUAUGGGAAUAUAUUUAUACGAAGGACAUUGAAGACCAGUUCGAUUGGCAUACAGUGAUCAAAAUAAUUUUUUUCGUGGAAUAAACAUGCGUCUAAUAUGCAGUUUUUCAAUUUUGUAUGCUAUGAGAUAACGGUUCUGGGGAAGAAAGCAUUUAGACCAGCAAUAAAAGGGUUGACUAUACCUGCGGAAACUCCUUUUGUCCGAGACAUGGAAAAUGCGACUUUUGACUUUGGGUUCCUGGACGUUCUAGCCUAGCGACAGGCAGUUUACAACCCCUAAUCUCGGGUCACGAAGUGUACAGUAACGGUCUGUACAGGAUUAAGAUUAUGACUCCUCCGUUUAAUAGUAAGGGGUCUGAAGCCCCUUUUCAGGGCCUCAAAUUGGGGAAAGCGAGAAUGUUCAUCCUAACUCGCUCAAGAAGUGAGAAUGCCGAAGCCCGAAUAAAUUACAAUUUUCUGUGUAACCCAGGCCCACAAGCACAGCCUAGUUUCGCUGUAAACUGCGGAUCAAAAUUUCUACUAGACGUUUUGGAAUUGUUUCAUAUAGUUUUUUACUUCUUUUUGUCGGGGUACGAAGCACGGUAAAACAAGACGGCCUAGAUUUCUCGUCUGUGUGGACACUCACGCAUAGAACCAGCUGGUUUCAUUGUCUCUCUCGAUCAUCUCCCGUUCUCUUUCUAAAGCAACUGCGCGGACCUGGAUGUGCAUUAAAAUGGUGGGGAUAAAAAUGCUUACUACCGUGAGACAAUGGCUUACUAAGGUGAAGCAUGACUGUAGUUUCUUCAGGAUGAGGUAAUUAAUUUUGUAAUGAAUUAUGAACAAUAUUCUGUAUAUACAGAGUUAUAAAUCUAAACUUUUGCGCUACUGCUAACAGAAUAUAAUACCUGUUAGUUUUCAUUCUGUACAUCGAUAUGUACGAAGAUACUAAACGGGUCCGAACUUAUAACCGCUAGUUAGUCCCACAAGAACACGUAAUUAAUUAGAGGAUGAAAAUGCGUUUAUUGAAAUGAUGUAUGUACAUUUUGUACAUUUUGGCACGUAGUUAUGAUCGAAGUAGAAAAACUUAUUACAAAAGACGAGAUUCUAUAAAUAAAUAAGUGAGCAACAAUAUCGUAAGGCACCUCUUAAGUCCUAAUGAGUAUUCGUCCUACAAUAUAUCAGGGCAUUACAAAACCGCUUAUUGCUAUGGUAUUCCGUAUAAUUAGGGCCGUAUAAAAUAGUUGUUCGUUGUAGUAAAAAACGGAAUAUUGUUAUAAAUAUUACGUCAAAAAAUACUGACAGUGUAAAAGUUAAA